GAAGAUUGAUGUUCAUAUUUGAAAGGAGGUUCUCUGAGCAGUGGCAGGGACAGUGAUGUCAUCACUGGCAAGCCACCCUCCACUCUGGGAGACAAGAGCCCCACUGUUCAUGUUCAUGAGGGCCUCCUGUGGGUGAAGCCUCCCUAUCUCACCUUGCCAUGGUCACCAAGGUACUUUGUUGGGUAGUUCUUUGUUUCCUGGGAGGAGAACCUACAGAUGCUGGCGUCACUCAGACACCCAGGCACAAGGUGACACAGAAAGGACAAACAGUAACUCUGCGAUGUGAACCACAUUCAAACCAUGACACCAUUUUCUGGUACAGACAGACUAUGGUGCAGGGGCUGGAGCUGCUGGUUUACUCUAACAACAAGCUUCUUGUGGAUGAUUCAGGGAUGCCCAAGGACCGAUUCUCGGCUGCCAUGCCUGAGGCCUCCUUCUCCACCAUGAAGAUCCAGCCCACAGCACCUGGGGACUCAGCUGUGUACCUCUGUGCCAGCAGCUUAGCCACAGCGCUGCAGAACCACCCUGUGCAGGUGCAGAAACCUGUCUCCUCUUUCCAUCUGUAUGGCUCCAUCCGCCAUUCCUCACCUCAUUCAGAUCGCUGA